AUUCCAGCUCCAAUAGCGUAUAUUAAAGUUGUUGCAGUUAAAAAGCUCGUAGUUGGAUUUCUGGUUUGAUGCCCUGGCCCGCUGCUAUUUUGGUAGUGUGUGCCGGUUGUGCGUCUGCCAUCCUUCUAGGGAACGUUCCUUCUCUUCACUGAGCCGGGUUCGUGAUCUAGAUCGUUUACUUUGAAAAAAUUAGAGUGUUUAAAGCAGGCUUUUGCUAUGAAUACAUUAGCAUGGAAUAAUAAUCUAGGACUUCGGUCAUAUUUUGUUGGUUUCUGUAACUGAAGUAAUGAUUGAUAGGGAUAGUUGGGGGUGCUAGUAUUGAGCGGCCAGAGGUGAAAUUCUUGGAUUCGCUCAAGACUAACUUAUGCGAAAGCAUUCACCAAGGAUGUCUUCAUUA
rnacentral:rRNA from 1 species